CAGUCGCCGCGGUAACACCAGCCCCUCGAGUGGUGGGGACUAUUAUUUGGCCUAAAGCGUCCGUAGCUGGCUGUAUCCGUCUCCCGGUAAAUCAGGCGUCCUAAGCGUCGGUUCUCGGGUGAUACCAUACAGCUAGAGGGUGGGAUAGGUGAGCGGUAUUUCUGGGGUAGGGGGGAAAUCCUUUGAUCCCAGGAGGACCACCAGUGGCGAAGGCGGUCAAGUAGAACCCGCCUGUCGGUCAGGGACGAAAUCUGGGGGAGCGAACCGGAUUAGAUUCCCGGGUAGUCCCAGCUGUAAUCGAUGCACGCUAGGUGUUGGGUCGGCCACGCGCCGCCCCAGUGCCGCAGGGAAGCCGUUAAGCCGCCCGCGUGGGGAGUACGGCCGCAAGGCUGAAAGUUAAAGGAAUUGGCGGGGGAGCAC
rnacentral:rRNA from 1 species